CGCAAGCCUGACGGAGCAAGACCGCGUGGGGGAGGAAAGCCUUUGGGUUGUAAACCCCUUUUCUCAGGGAAGAAGAAAGUGACGGUACCUGAGGAAUCAGCCUCGGCUAACUCCGUGCCAGCAGCCGCGGUAAGACGGAGGAUGCAAGCGUUAUCCGGAAUUAUUGGGCGUAAAGCGUCCGUAGGCGGUUCAUCAAGUCUGCCGUUAAAGACUGCAGCUCAACUGUGGGCCGGCGGUGGAAACUGAUGAACUUGAGUGUGGUAGGGGUAGAGGGAAUUCCCAGUGUAGCGGUGAAAUGCGUAGAUAUUGGGAAGAACACCAGUGGCGAAGGCGCUCUGCUGGGCCAUAACUGACGCUGAGGGACGAAAGCUAGGGGAGCG
rnacentral:rRNA from 1 species